UGGUGGUUUUGUACUAUGAGAUUUUAGCGAAGCAUACCGGGAAUUUUAUAGAGCUGCUUUCCCUGUAUAAUUAGGAUUUGGCACAAAGAGCUUCAAGUAAGAUUUGGAAAGUACAAGGGGAGCAGCAGUCAUUACAGAAGAUUAGUACAAGCCUCCAUGCAUGGCCAGAGCUUGGCACAUUCCCUGCUGAUUCACGGGCUCUCUCACUGGUGCGCAUAGACCCACAGCUCCUCUGCCUACUGCCAGAUCUUUUCCUUCAGCGUUUCCAAGUCCUGAGUCACACACACGUGCAACUCUGGGGUGAAAGGCUCCUGCUUCUUCUGCAGAUUCCCGGAAUCAUCUGGGUUUGAAGCAUAUUCUGAUUUGUCCUUUUCACCACCAGGUACAGAGGCAACUCCUUCCAUAGAUUUCUUCACCAGUUUUCCUUAAUGGUCUACUUGGAACGUUUGAAAUUGUCUGGUUCUUUGGCACCCAAAUAUGAAGGUCACUUCAUUAAGGGCCAGAAUUUUCAUAGAGAGCAUUUGAGAAAAAAGAGCUCAAUAAAAUACCAAAAAAGAAAUAGAAGCAAGAACUACAGUAAAAGAAAUGCUAUUUAUAUAUGCAAAUGAAGAUUGAAGACAACUAUUAUCAACUUUCUACUCUUAAGAAUUAUUUAACUUUCUACUGCUAUUUAUGCAUUUGGACAUUGGUUUACCAUGCCACUUUUUUUAUGUAUUAAAAAAAAACUGUUGAAAAUUAAAAUGAUAUUAUACUUGUGUUGAGGCCAAAUAUAUAUUCCCAAAGUGUUCUAAAUUUGUUAUAGUGUUUUUACUCCUGAGUAAUCAAUAACAUUGAGUAAUAAAGACAGAAUUAUUUAUGUAUAAAUAAAAAUUCUCAUGAACAUUUUUAUCUAUUUUUCUUCCUUUUCUGAGUUGAAAAGCAGCCAUUGUCAACAUAACUAAUUGUUGCUACAGUAUCUUUUUAAAUUAAUGUGGUA
rnacentral:lncRNA from 1 species